rfam:Pteropus vampyrus cont1.99854, whole genome shotgun sequence.
CACCGUUUCAGUGGCAUUUAAAUCCCCGGCGCUCCUCAGUCUAGGUGACGCGCAGUCGCCCCCCCAGGCAGCCCAGGCGACGGCGGCAGCUGCGACGGCUGCAAGGACAGAUUCGCAGCGCUGGG